GGCGACCGGCGGCACGGGUGAGUAACGCGUAUCCAACCUUCCCCUUAGUAGGGCAUAGCCCGGCGAAAGUCGGAUUAAUACCCUAUGUUGUAUAUUGAGGACAUCUGAUUUAUACCAAAGAUUCAUCGCUAAGGGAUGGGGAUGCGUCCGAUUAGGUAGUCGGCGGGGUAACGGCCCACCGGGCCAUCGAUCGGUAGGGGUUCUGAGAGGAAGGUCCCCCACACUGGUACUGAGACACGGACCAGACUCCUACGGGAGCAGCAGUGAGGAAUAUUGGUCAAUGGGCGUGAGCCUGAACCAGCCAAGUAGCGUGCAGGAAGACGGCCCUAUGGGUUGUAAACUGCUUUUAUCAGGGGAUAAAGUGAGGGACGUGUCCCUUAUUGCAGGUACCUGAUGAAUAAGGACCGGCUAAUUCCGUGCCAGCCGCCGC
rnacentral:rRNA from 1 species